ensembl:snoRNA
GCAUGGUAAUGGAUUUAUGGUGGGUCCUUCUCUGUGGGCCUCUCAUAGUGGACCCAUGCCAGAGUAAAUGGCAGCCUCGAACCAUUGCCCAGCCCCUUACCUAUGAGCUGUGAGCACUGAAGAGGGUUGCACAGUA